CCGCCACUCGUAUGGCUUCAAACGGUUUCGUGAGAUGAAGUUUAUAGUGUACACUUUAUCGCGCUGAUAAUAGACGAAAGCUACGUAGAAGGAUAGUAAAGUUGCUUCUCUCUUUCUCUCUCUCUCUCUCUACGUAGAAGGAACGACACGGGACAACACAAGCGCGGUUCCUUCUACGUAGCUUUCGUCUAUUGUCAGCGCGAUUGUCAGGCCCUUUGGCUCUUCUAGAGGUGAAGUUUGUUUGCAGGCGGUCGCUGCUUGCCAUCUGCUUGCACAGCGUGAGUUAGUAGCGCGGUCGAGUGUCUUCAAAGGAGCGUGAAAUUUCAUCAGAGGCAUUUCUGUGCAAUAUCCCUGUAUCUGGAACAAUCAACGCGCGGUGUCCGGAGGAAUGAUUUGCACCUGUUAUGCAUGUUUAGGAAAAUAUGUUGCCGACAUCUAUAGAGGCCAAGGCAGCUACUGUCUGAAAGGGAAAAAAAAAAACAGGAUGUCAGUACUAUGGUAAGCAAAAAAAUAACAUAUACAAUAGCCUUAAUGAAUUAUUCAAAACUGUUAAUAAUUAACAAGGAAGCACACAGAAAACAGGACCAGCUGUAACUUAAUUCUAAGUGUAAAAUAACAAGCAUCUGGAGCUGCUGAAACAUCACUUUGGAGCAGCAUAACAACCUUCUGAAGCAGUUACUCAGCACACAUUUUGUAAUGGAAAUAUUUGUCUCUAAGCUGCAGCAGUUGUACCGCAUGUUUAACAAAAUCGAUUUAUGCACAAAUACAUGCACAUUUGCUUAGAACACCCCCUUACCUCUUUCCUAGUGCAUGGUAGCAAACCGGAUAUUUAUUUUCUGGUUAACCUUCCUGCGUUUACUUAGCCUUUAUCUCCCUAUAGAAUAAUAGCCCAGAAGAUGAAAUGAAGUUGCUGCUCUUCGUUUUUCUAUGGAAAGUGCCGAGUUUCUUUACGGCACUUUAGUUACAGUACAGUAAACACAAGCUGUGUAAAUCUUCCAUGCAUUGUGUUUACAAUCCAGAAUCUAGGCUUUCACUGCAUGGUUAAGUGCCUGCUGUUGUGCUUAAUAAAGAGGCUGUUGUGGUUCAUGCGUGAUUAAUAAAAUACAGGGUGUAAUAAUUGGUCCCUUGUGUACGAAAUCAAGUGCUCCAUGAAAUUUGCAGUAAUGGGAGGCUUUGUGUUUAACUUCGACAAGUUCUCAAACACGACCUGUUGCUGCGGUCAAGAAAUAGAACUGAGGUACUUGGCUGCUGGUACACCAUGCUUUCUUUGCCAAAUCCCACAGUCCACUGCAGUGCAUGGAAUAGUUGACAAAGUCUCGUAAUCGUACAGUGAGACAUGACUUAAGGGGGGACGUGGCAAUGAAAACUAUCUUGGUUAUUUAUGGAGAUAAAGUGAUGAAAUUUGGCAUGCAGAUGUGAUAUGUUGUGCUGAUAUCAUAACUGAAGUCGGUUUUGAGCUAUCUGUUGUAGUUGUUGAGUUACAACACUUGAUACUCUCUCAUUGUCAUCCCAAAAUUAAUUAAUGAAUUAGACAUAAGUUCGUCACAAUUUUUGCAUAAGCAUAUUCACAAGGGCCCGUUCUGUGCUGUAAAGCUAUUGGUUUAUUUUUUAGUACUCAAAUAAGCACACAAAAAAUUUUUGACAUUUCUUGUACUCAUUGUCUUACUAACAACUUUUACAAAAAGCCAAUUAUAAAAAUCUGUAUGGCGUGCAGACAAAUAUGGGCAGCUUUACGGGAGCUAGAUUUGCAGUAUUCCAAUGUGUCUUGUAAACACCAGAAAGCAGAAUAUGAAAGUCACCUAUGCCCUCAGAAGUGCGUACAAGUUCAGAACUUAGUGUAAAUGGAGGAGCUAGAGCAGAUUUCAUGUACCUUGUUUCAAUCACCCACACCAUGAUUAGUCCUCUGCUCCAAAAUAAAAGUUUGCACCCUGAAAAAAAAAA